rnacentral:rRNA from 1 species
UGAGGAAUAUUGGUCAAUGGGCGCAAGCCUGAACCAGCCAUCCCGCGUGCAGGAAGACGGCCCUAUGGGUUGUAAACUGCUUUUCCAGGGGGAGAAACUUGCGCACGUGUUGCGCAAUUGACGGUACCCUGGGAAUAAGCAUCGGCUAACUCCGUGCCAGCAGCCGCGGUAAUAAGGAGGAUGCGAGCGUUAUCCGGAUUCAUUGGGUGUAAAGGGUGCGUAGGCGGACUAUUAAGUCAGUGGUGAAAUCCUGCAGCUUAACUGCAGAACUGCCAUUGAUACUGAUAGCCUUG